rnacentral:lncRNA from 1 species
UUGUCAAGUCUAAAUGAUGGGCUCAUUGGUGUGCUAAUUUUUUUUGCAUUUUCCAUCCCAAGCUUUUUGAGUAUCUCUCGAUAUACUUAGUUUAGUUGAUGAAGAUUUCUUCCUUUAUUUGUUUAAUGUGAAGUCCAAUGAAGAAACUUAUCUCUCCCAUCAUGCUCAUUUCAAAUUCACCCUAUAUUAACUCAGUAAACUCUUGGCAA